rnacentral:lncRNA from 1 species
GGAUAGGGAUAACUAAAUUGCAGCAGCAGUAAGGUAGGAAACCAGAACCUGUUGCAAUUCACGGGAUGAUCCGCGGUGGUGGAAAUGAUGGCAGAAUUUGGCUACGAUCUUUUAAGUAAUUGUGGGAAUUGCUUUAGGCGACUAUGGAGGGCUGAUUGAUGGCUAUGGAAGGGCAGAGAGAUGCCAAGAACCCUGCUCUGACAUCAGGUGUUAGAACCAUUACAUAUUCUAAACUUGGGGUUGAU